rnacentral:rRNA from 1 species
GAUGAACGCUGACAGAAUGCUUAACACAUGCAAGUCAACUUGAACUUCGGUUUGGGUGGCGGACGGGUGAGUAACGCGUAAAGAACUUGCCUCACAGUUAGGGACAACAUUUGGAAACGAAUGCUAAUACCUGAUAUUAUGAUUUUAGGGCAUCCUAGAAUUAUGAAAGCUAUAUGCGCUGUGAGAGAGCUUUGCGUCCCAUUAGCUAGUUGGAGAGGUAACGGCUCACCAAGGCGAUGAUGGGUAGCCGGCCUGAGAGGGUGAACGGCCACAAGGGGACUGAGACACGGCCCUUACUCCUACGGGAGGCAGCAGUGGGGAAUAUUGGACAAUGGACCAAGAGUCUGAUCCAGCAAUUCUGUGUGCACGAUGAAGUUUUUCGGAAUGUAAAGUGCUUUCAGUUGGGAAGAAAAAAAUGACGAUACCAACAGAAGGAGUGACGGCUAAAUACGUG